rnacentral:rRNA from 1 species
ACGCUGGCGGCGUGGAUAAGACAUGCAAGUCGAACGGGAGAAUUGCUAGCUUGCUAAUAAUUCUCUAGUGGCGCACGGGUGAGUAACACGUGAGUAACCUGCCUCUUAGUGGGGGAUAGCCCUGGGAAACCGGGAUUAAUACCGCAUACGAUUGAAAGAUCAAAGCAGCAAUGCGCUAGGAGAUGGGCUCGCGGCCUAUUAGUUAGUUGGUGAGGUAACGGCUCACCAAGGCGAUGACGGGUAGCCGGUCUGAGAGGAUGUCCGGCCACACUGGAACUGAGACACGGUCCAGACACCUACGGGUGGCAGCAGUCGAGAAUCAUUCACAAUGGGGGCAACCCUGAUGGUGCGACGCCGCGUGGGGGAAUGAAGGUCUUCGGAUUGUAAACCCCUGUCAUGUGGGAGCAAAUUAAAAAGAUAGUACCACAAGAGGAAGAGACGGCUAACUCUGUGCCAGCAGCCGCGGUAAUACAGAGGUCUCAAGCGUUGUUCGGAAUCACUGGGCGUAAAGCGUGCGUAGGCUGUUUCGUAAGUCGUGUGUGAAAGGCAGGGGCUCAACCCCUGGAUUGCACAUGAUACUGCGAGACUAGAGUAAUGGAGGGGGAACCGGAAUUCUCGGUGUAGCAGUGAAAUGCGUAGAUAUCGAGAGGAACACUCGUGGCGAAGGCGGGUUCCUGGACAUUAACUGACGCUGAGGCACGAAGGCCAGGGGAGCGAAAGGGAUUAGAUACCCCUGUAGUCCUGGCAGUAAACGGUGCACGCUUGGUGUGCGGGGAAUCGACCCCCUGCGUGCCGGAGCUAACGCGUUAAGCGUGCCGCCUGGGGAGUACGGUCGCAAGAUUAAAACUCAAAGAAAUUGACGGGGACCCGCACAAGCGGUGGAGUAUGUGGCUUAAUUCGAUGCAACGCGAAGAACCUUACCUGGGCUUGACAUGUAAUGAACAACAUGUGAAAGCAUGCGACUCUUCGGAGGCGUUACACAGGUGCUGCAUGGCCGUCGUCAGCUCGUGUCGUGAGAUGUUUGGUUAAGUCCAGCAACGAGCGCAACCCCUGUUGCCAGUUACCAUCGAGUAAUGUCGGGGACUCUGGCGAGACUGCCCAGAUCAACUGGGAGGAAGGUGGGGACGACGUCAGGUCAGUAUGGCCCUUAUGCCCAGGGCUGCACACGUACUACAAUGCCCAGUACAGAGGGGGCCGAAGCCGCGAGGCGGAGGAAAUCCUGAAAACUGGGCCCAGUUCGGACUGUAGGCUGCAACCCGCCUACACGAAGCCGGAAUCGCUAGUAAUGGCGCAUCAGCUACGGCGCCGUGAAUACGUUCCCGGGUCUUGUACACACCGCCCGUCACAUCAUGGAAGCCGGUCGCACCCGAAGUAUCUGAAGCCAACCGCAAGGAGGCAGGGUCCUAAGGUGAGACUGGUAACUGGGAU